UACGAAGGGGGCUAGCGUUGUUCGGAAUCACUGGGCGUAAAGCGCUCGUAGGCGGAUCUUUAAGUCAGAGGUGAAAUCCCAAGGCUCAACCUUGGAACUGCCUUUGAUACUGGGGAUCUCGAGUCCGGGAGAGGUGAGUGGAACUGCGAGUGUAGAGGUGAAAUUCGUAGAUAUUCGCAAGAACACCAGUGGCGAAGGCGGCGACCUGGUCCGAGACUGACGUGAGGCGCGAAAGCGUGGGGAGCAAACAGG
rnacentral:rRNA from 1 species